CAAGGUGUGAUCUCUGGGAACCUGUGACUUGUUAAAGCUGCCAGGCUGAGGAAAGGAGGUGCUUCAGGUGGCAGCGGCCCAUCAGUGCUGUCCUCAGGAGCUCUCGGCCGCCCUGGAUUUUCUCCAGGAGCGUGGGAACAAGUUCAGCCAGACUGAGAAGCAGUCCAGAAAUAUCUUACGGACAGAAGGGAUAAGGGCAAGGUUGCUGUUUGGGGGCUUUGGACUCAUUCCCAUCUGCUGUCAAGGCAUCUCCAGCAGGAAUAGCAUGUAAAGUGAAGGAGGGUGUUUCCAAUCUGUUGUCAGAUUGGUUCCUGGCAGCCUGAGCACAAGCCACUGGCAGCUAGAUAGCUUCAUGCAAGAUUAAUGAAGCACAAGACUCAGCAAGCAAAAGGAAGCGCUGCGAUGUCUCGCCUGCCCUCUCCAGAGGCUUCCCAGCCAAACGUGCCACGUCCCGGGUGACGUGCGGCAGAGCCACGCGGUCUGACCGGGGCGCUCGGUGGCGCUGGGGCUGCAGAGGAUGCUGAGUGAUGUAAACACCUUCACCUUGAGAGCUGCUGCAAUAAAAAACAGAGUAACAGAGUAAAGCAUGGGGACAGAUGGGCAGGCAUAUUGAGAAGCACCCAUUGUAGGGGCUUGAAGUGGAGCACAGAGGCAUGACACAUCUUUGGGUACGUUUGGCUGCGUGCCCCGGGGGCGAGUGUCCUGCAGCCGUGUGCCGGCCCUGCCGCCCUGGGGCAGCGCACACAGCAGGCACAAGGCUGUUUGCUGGGCUGCUGGAGCGCUUUAUGUCAAGGCCGUUGCCUGGAGGACAUUUUUCAGCUUGUAGAACUUAAUUCAAUUAAUGGAAUAUCUGGGAAAGCGGAAACAUUCUUUUUGUGACGCUUCUUCAAAGGAAUUAAUUUUGGCAAUAGAUAGCUUUAAUACCAUUGUUUAUUUUUCUCAAUUUGCAGAAGACUCAGAGGGAUGCCUGUAUAAGAGACAGACAUCUAGACAAAAUAGUUCAAAAUAAUGCUUUUUUUUUUUAAAAAAAAAAAAAAAAAAAGAGAAAAGAAUAAUCUUGAAUCUACCACCCAGUCUUUCUGAGAGUUUGCUGUGUGGUACAUGAAAACUGGGGUGCCAGGAGGAGUACUUUUGUAUGGAAUCAGGAUAAAAGACGAGUCUGAAAAGAAGAGUUGCCUGGGAACGAAGGCUGUUGCUGGAAAAUGAUUAUGAGGACAUUUUAAUGCACUGAAUAUGUACAACUGGAAAAGCUGAAAUAAAGAAAAUGAGUAUUGUUAUUGUUCCAUCAUCCAGUUUAACAACUUCUCCCCAUUUCUUGUAAAACCUGGAUCAUAUGAAAGAAUCCACUAAAACAGCAGAAAGGAGAAUUGCUGUGAUAAUGAGUUACACUUCCUGGGCAAGGCACACAUUUGGACAAAGGCAGCUACCUUCAUGGAAAUGGUCAGAGAAGUGAAUAAAGAUGCCUACUGGCAGCGACAGUAAGAAAGAUUUUUCCCUGCAUAAAACAAAAGUGGAGGUGAGGAGAUUAACUGAGCAAGAAACCGAGCUAAGCGGAUCUCCACAAGCUUCACAUCCGAAGCAGAGGCCAGCAGCACUGCUGCGCUAUGUGGGCAGGAAGGAGACAGGGAGACGUUUCCCGGCAUGGAGAGAACACUUCUAGUCCUUUCUCAGGCAAUUUUUUAAGUAUUAGCAACCAUGGUAACUGAAUAGAAAUGUAACCCGUGUGCUGUGCAUUCAGCUUGACACAAUUAUCUCUGCAGAACAGUCACGUUAAAAAUAAACAUGGCUUGCACCAGA